rnacentral:lncRNA from 1 species
AUGGGGGAGGAGGUAAACAGGAAAUGCUUGCACAGCCUUCUCACUGAAGAAUUCAUGAAGCCAUGUUGUAAUUGCAAUACACUCUUUACAGGUGGAUUCUACUGCUACCCUCACUUCAAGAGUGGUUGUUUCUGUUUUCAAGUUGGGCCGCCUUUUUUGCUUGGCAAAGUAGACAUCAUUGCUUCCCUGGUUCCAAAGAUGAUGGAGUUUCUGCACUUCGUAAAGAAUUUCUCAAGUUUGUGUUGCAUAUCUUCUGAAAAAAAGUUCCUCAAGGACUAGAGCUCAACAGUGAUUCACCUACCAUGUUCUGUCAUUUAGUAAUUCCAUGGAUAUACAAAGGAAACCAUCAGAGAACUGUGAGCUGGGUGGUUUAUGCCCCUGCAUGUGUGUGUCCGUAUACCUGCACAUACACAGACACCAGAAAAGUACCAAUUCCACUUGGCAAAAGAGUGGGAGAUGUGUUAGACUUCUCUUGAAUUGGCUGAAAUUUUUUGUAUGUUUAUACCGAAGAGGUCUGAGUAUAGAUUUCAGCUCCAGAUAUAAUGAACACAGAUUUAGAUUGUUCAGACCCCUUUGUUUGGAGUGCAUUUAAGGCUGUUUGAUGUAAUCAAACCACAUUGUCAGAACAAACAUUGUAGUUCGUUUUUACACUUUUCAUUUUAAAAUUCUUGACAGUAGUUAAAUUGGUAAACUUCAUGGUUUUGAUAAAUAUUUGUAUUAAGAAAUAAUGUAUAUCUGUGCAUUUGAAACUGAAAUAUAAAGGAACCUUGAAGUUCAAGCCAAACUUGAUGCUAAGAUUCAUUUCUCUCCUUGAUAAUCUGUAAAAGAAAUUUUGCUUAAAAUUGGGCUUGACCUUGCUGAACUGGAUGAAUCCAAGCUAUUUUUGAGGACACAUGGUUGCCGUUUGGAAUUUUUAAUUGCCAAUACAUACAACUGUAAAGCAAUCUUGGUGUUUUAAGGAGAACAUCUAAAGCAAGUUAAAAUUGGGAGUGAGGUGAACAUUGUGUUGGUGUUGUGUGUUCUGUCCUGAGUAUGAGUGCUCAAGACUUUUUCAUCAUGACUAAUACAUUUACCACAGAGGUCUAAUCUGAUUCUAGUCUAAUCUGAUUCAUGUUUCUUUCUAAAUGGGAUACCCCGUGAAAGGAUCACAUUUCCAAAUCCAUAUCUCUUCAGUUUGUUUGAUUUCUGUGUGUGUACCUCAAAAAAAAAACCACCCUAAUUUUGUGCAGACUGAUGGAUGUUAGAAUAAAAGACCUUGGCAAAAGGGAUGUAUGGUGUGC